ensembl:snRNA U6 U6 spliceosomal RNA
GGGCUCACUUUGGCAGCACAUAUAUGAAAAUUGGAAUGAUACAGAGAAGAUUAGCAUGGCCCCUACACAAGUAUGACACGCAUAUUCAUAGAAGUGUGCCUCAAUGAC